rnacentral:rRNA from 1 species
GAUGAACGCUGGCGGCGUGCCUAAUACAUGCAAGUCGAGCGAACAGACGAGGAGCUUGCUCCUCUGACGUUAGCGGCGGACGGGUGAGUAACACGUGGAUAACCUACCUAUAAGACUGGGAUAACUUCGGGAAACCGGAGCUAAUACCGGAUAAUAUAUUGAACCGCAUGGUUCAAUAGUGAAAGACGGUUUUGCUGUCACUUAUAGAUGGAUCCGCGCCGCAUUAGCUAGUUGGUAAGGUAACGGCCUACCAAGGCAACGAUGCGUAGCCGACCUGAGAGGGUGAUCGGCCACACUGGAACUGAGACACGGUCCAGACUCCUACGGGAGGCAGCAGUAGGGAAUCUUCCGCAAUGGGCGAAUGCCUGACGGAGCAACGCCGCGUGAGUGAUGAAGGUCUUCGGAUCGUAAAACUCUGUUAUUAGGGAAGAACAAAUGUGUAAGUAACUAUGCACGUCUUGACGGUACCUAAUCAGAAAGCCACGGCUAACUACGUG